CCUACGGGUGGCAGCAGUGAGGAAUAUUGGUCAAUGGGCGGGAGCCUGAACCAGCCAAGUAGCGUGCAGGAUGACGGCCCUACGGGUUGUAAACUUCUUUUAUACGGGAAUAACGCGCCUUACGUGUAGGGCUUUGCAUGUACCUUAUGAAUAAGCACCGGCUAAUUCCGUGCCAGCAGCCGCGGUAAUACGGAAGGUCCGGGCGUUAUCCGGAUUUAUUGGGUUUAAAGGGAGCGUAGGCCGCAUGUCAAGCGUGCUGUGAAAUGUCCGGGCUCAACCCGGGCCUUGCAGUGGGAACUGGCGGGCUUGAGUCCGCGGAGAGUAGGCGGAAUUCGUCGUGUAGCGGUGAAAUGCUUAGAUAUGACGAAGAACCCCGAUUGCGAAGGCAGCUUGCUGCAGCGGAACUGACGCUGAUGCUCGAAAGCGCGGGUAUCGAACAGGAUUAGAUACCCUUGUAGUC
rnacentral:rRNA from 1 species